rnacentral:lncRNA from 1 species
CGACAAUCGUUUAAAUACUGCAGGCGAAGGACGGGUUCUUAUGGUUCCUUCAGGCAAACCGGCAGCUGAGUCCAGCUUGUGAACUUGAACUUGAACUUGCUGAAGAAGCUCCCGGCGGCCCUCUGCUGGCCGCCGCCUUUGCCAGAGGGAGAGGCUGGAGUCACCCUGUUGGAACCCAUUUCUGGGGCUGGCACCUGUUGGGCUGCCCGGCCGCGCGUACCUGGUCCCAUCGGGGGCUCUGCCCACUCCGCUGAUGACGCGGGUAGAAGGGAGGCCGCAGGGACACUCUGGGGGGACUGUGCCGGGCGGGCACCCCCCAGCUGCUCACUGUGGGGUGCGGCACCGAGGCCUGGUUGGGCUGCAAGGAGACCGACUGGGAUUCCCGGGCUGGUGGCCGGGGAGACGGGGUAGAGGUGAGAAGCAAGAGCUCAGGAGGCCUCAGGCCCCAGCGCUGUGGGGCUGCCGUUGUCGUUCUGGGUGGAGGUCUGGCCAAACCGGCUUUUGCCCCGAGUGAGGAAUUCCUGCUCAUUUUGGUGUUAGUGGAGAGGUCGCUGUUCACAGCGGGGGUGGGGUUCGUCCCCUCCAGGCUAGUAGGGAGCUGGCUGGUGCAUUGCUGUGUUGCUGCCCUUCUGCCCUGUCUCCUGAUCCUGUUCAGACUCUGGGUGGCUCCUUUGAGUCUUCUCAGGCCGUGAAAGAUGGGAAAGGCAGGUUGUUGAAACCACUGCUGCUCCGGGCUGGCAGAGACCCUGAGCUGUACCUCCUGGGAUGAAAGGAGAACCCAGGAGCAGGCAGGUGACCACUGCUUCCUCAUACUCCUCAGCAAGUCCUGGAUCUCUUCCUGUCUGUAACCCACGGAUACCAUGAACUUAGUUUGCAGGGGGUCCUCCCAGUGGGAGAGUGGCUGCACACAGCGCUUAAGUUCCUCACCUUCAUGACUCGCAUUCAUCCAUGGACCCCUCACAGUGUGCUCUGAAGGGCCUCUCUUCCUGCAAUUGACAAUGAGAAAUUUCUUCAGCAAGUUUUCACUCUCCGGGGACAUGGGGGAGGGAAUGGAAUACAUCCUGCUCAGUACCUGCUCCUAUAGCUCCUUGAAGUUCUGUCCAUCGAAAAAUAAGGAUCCAUUUACCAGUAUAUAGAGGAUAACUCGCAGACGCCAUACAUCCACCAGCUCAUAUUUGUGGCCCUAGAAGAAUUCCAGGGCAGCCUAAGGGGACUGCCACAAAAGGUAUCCAGCUUGUUGCGAAAGGCGAAUUUAUUCCUGAACCCAAUCUGUGAUGUUCAUGUUAACAUGGACAAUACAUUUCUGGUGACAAUACACAAUAUCUGUGGACAAUGCACUUCUGGUAACAGCUUGCAUAGCAGACACUUUUGGUGGAAUUUGCUUCAGGCCUCUUUCCUGCUGCUGUGAGCAGGUAUUCACAAACUUCUCGCUAGCGUGCUUUGUGAUGAGGCAGAGAUUCCUCACUAUCGAUCACAGCAAAUACUUCACUAUGUUGGGGUGAUCUGAGCCUUCAUGAUUCCUACUUUGUGGAUGGUGUCUGGAGGCUGGAGGAGAUCUGCUGAGUCUCAUCAAUGAACUUCACGGCGGCUGCUUUCCCAGUCAGGAUGUCCCAGGCCAACCCCACCUUAGCCAGGUUGUCCUUGACGAUGGUCUCAAGGAUCCUCGCUGCCAAUAAGGAUCCCUCCUCAGCAGAGAUGGCUGAGAGGCCCUGCGGCGUGUGGGACUUACUACUGGGCUUGGAGUCAAGGUGUCCCAGGUCGGCUUAAUUUUGGGAAAAGCUGGUGAGAAGCUUGGUCCAAAUCACCUGAAAAGAAAAUCACUUGCAUAGUUUACCUGAAGAACGGAUUUCUAUAAUGGAAUCAAAACACAAUACUGGACAAAAAUCAAAUAAGCAAAAGCAACAAACUGAAAAGGAAAUGCUGAG